GUGAGCAACCUACCCCUGACUCUGGGAUAAGCGCUGGAAACGGCGUCUAAUACUGGAUAUGUGAUGUGACCGCAUGGUCUGCGUCUGGAAAGAAUUUCGGUUGGGGAUGGGCUCGCGGCCUAUCAGCUUGUUGGUGAGGUAAUGGCUCACCAAGGCGUCGACGGGUAGCCGGCCUGAGAGGGUGACCGGCCACACUGGGACUGAGACACGGCCCAGACUCCUACGGGAGGCAGCAGUGGGGAAUAUUGCACAAUGGGCGCAAGCCUGAUGCAGCAACGCCGCGUGAGGGAUGACGGCCUUCGGGUUGUAAACCUCUUUUAGCAGGGAAGAAGCGAAAGUGACGGUACCUGCAGAAAAAGCACCGGCUAACUACGUGCCAGCAGCCGCGGUAAUACGUAGGGUGCAAGCGUUAUCC
rnacentral:rRNA from 1 species